rnacentral:rRNA from 1 species
GCUAAUACCGGAUAAGUCUUUACGGAGAAAGCUUUAUGCACCAUUGGAUGAGCCUGCACUUGAUUAGUUUGUUGGUGGGGUAAUGGCCUACCAAGACUGUGAUCAAUAGCUGAUUUGAGAGGAUGAUCAGCCACAUUGGGACUGAGACACGGCCCAAACUCCUACGGGAGGCAGCAGUGGGGAAUCUUGCACAAUGGAGGAAACUCUGAUGCAGCGAUGCCGCGUGAGUGAAGAAGGCCCUUGGGUUGUAAAGCUCUUUCGUCG